CCGGUUUUUUGUGUUGCAGGAGUGGCGUCACACUCAUGGCAUGCGCUGUUUGGGCAUUCCUAACACUGCCCACUUUGCCAACGUCACCCAGAUUGAGGACGCAGUGUCCCUCUGGUCAAAGCUGAAGUCACAGAAAGCAUUAGAGCGCUGGCAGCCGGACACAGAGGAGGAAUAUGAAGACUCCAGCGGAAACGUGGUCAACAAGAAGACUUAUGAGGAUCUGAAGCGACAGGGGCUUCUGUAGCUCAACAAACAAGAGUCUGAACACACAAAACACUCACAGCGUGAAUACUGAAGCAGAAAUGUGAAAGAGUUUCGUCCUCUUGUGUUUCCCACAGUUUGGGAGGAAUUUGAUUUGUCUUUUUGAGAAUGAGCAGUUGGUACAUUUGUAUUACUCUUUCUUUAUUCCUUAUUUUUGCAUUUGAUGUCUUAAAUGUGAAACAGAGACUUUCAUUAAUCAAUCAAGUUUAGUAUGUUGUGUGAACAGUGUCUUCUUGAGCAGCCUGCUGUUUUUAACCAGUCUGGAGACUUUAAACCUGCUGUAGAAUAAAAUCAAACAGUGAGAUGGUUUUACUUCAGCAGCAUCUGUCACUGAAAUAUAUUCAGACGCCUUCAUUUAAUGUUGCAGUCUAAUGCUAAAAUCCUUUAUUUUUCAUUCACAUCAAUCUACACUCCAUACAUCAUAAUGACAGAAAAUCAGAUGUGAUGACUGCAAAUGUGUUGAAAGAAAGAACAAACAGAAAAACAGUGUCACAUUGACUGAAUUCAGUUCAGAAGCACCUCAUUUCUCUGAAUGAUCGAGAUUAAAAAUACAAUUAUUAAAAUGCAGAUUUCUGUAUUUCAAUGUUGAGUCCAUCUUAUUAAAGCUCUUCUUGUGUGUAAUAAGAGCACAGCUGUAUCAGAUUAUGAAAAUACAAAGCCAUUCCAGAGACAAAGAAUUUGACUAAUUUUACAAUCAAUAUUAGAUUAAUCUGAUGAAAAAGUAUUCGCUCAGUUAUAGUAUUGUGUGAUUUAUGUUACUAUCAAUGACAGAAGUUCAGCUCUAGUUUUGUUUUAAAGGGUCAAGAGAGAUUUUUCACUUUUGUCAGUAUGUACCUUAAGGUUUACUUCUGUUAGUAAUGUUAAUAAAGUGUUUUGCUAAAAAAUAAAUAAACGUAGAUAAUUAUUA